AAAAUAAGAGCACUAGUAAAGACAAGGAGGGUGUCCACCAUCUCUCCUUCCAGAUGAAGCUCUGCAAGAGCAGCCUGGCAUCGCAGGAAGGGCAGGGCGCUGUGCUGCACACGUGGCAGGCUUUCCAGCACUUUGGAUAGUGGUGAUAAUUUAUUGCAUAUACCUGAUAUGGAAGACUUCGAUUCUGAUAUUGAGAAUGUACCUGAGCCAAGUUUAAAACGUCUAUCGGCUGCUUCUU